rnacentral:rRNA from 1 species
UGGGGAAUAUUGGACAAUGGAGGGAACUCUGAUCCAGCAAUUCUGUGUGUGUGAAGAAGGUUUUAGGACUGUAAAACACUUUUAGUAGGGAAGAAAAAAAUGACGGUACAUACAGAAGAAGCAACGGCUAAAUACGUGCCAGCAGCCGCGGUAAUACGUAUGUUGCGAGCGUUAUCCGGAAUUAUUGGGCUUAAAGGGCAUCUAGGCGGUAAGACAAGUUGAAGGUGAAAACCUGUGGCUCAACCAUAGGCUUGCCUACAAAACUGUUGAACUAGAGUACUGGAAAGGUGGGUGGAACUACACGAGUAGAGGUGAAAUUCGUAGAUAUGUGUAGGAAUGCCGAUGAUGAAGAUAACUCACUGGACAGAAACUGACGCUGAAGUGCGAAAGCUAGGGGAGCAAACAGG